UACGUAGGUGGCGAGCGUUGUCCGGAUUUACUGGGCGUAAAGGGAGCGUAGGCGGAUUUUUAAGUGAGAUGUGAAAUACUCGGGCUCGACUUGAGUGCUGCAUUUCAAACUGGAAGUCUAGAGUGCAGGAGAGGAGAAUGGAAUUCCUAGUGUAGCGGUGAAAUGCGUAGAGAUUAGGAAGAACACCAGUGGCGAAGGCGAUUCUCUGGACUGUAACUGACGCUGAGGCUCGAAAGCGUGGGGAGCAAACAGG
rnacentral:rRNA from 1 species